rnacentral:rRNA from 1 species
UACGGGGGGAGCAAGCGUUGUUCGGAUUUACUGGGCGUAAAGGGCGCGUAGGCGGCGCAACAAGUCACUUGUGAAAUCCCGGGGCUUAACCCCGGGACUGCAUUCCGUACUGCGGUGCUUGAGGACUGGAGAGGAGACUGGAAUUUACGGUGUAGCAGUGAAAUGCGUAGAGAUCGUAAGGAAGACCAGUGGCGAAGGCGGGUCUCUGGACAGUUCCUGACACUGAGGCACGAAGGCCAGGGGAGCAAACGGG